CGUGUAGGCGGCUUAUUAAGUCAGAUGUGAAAGCCCACGGCUUAACCGUGGAACUGCAUUUGAAACUGAUAGACUUGAGUAUGAGAAGGGGUAGUGGAAUUCCCAGUGUAGCGGUGAAAUGCGUAGAUAUUGGGAAGAACACCAGUAGCGAAGGCGACUACCUGGCUCAUUACUGACGCUAAUGCGCGAAAGCGCGGGGAGCAAACA
rnacentral:rRNA from 1 species